UACGUAGGGUGCAAGCGUUGUCCGGAAUUAUUGGGCGUAAAGAGCUCGUAGGCGGUCUGUCGCGUCGGCUGUGAAAAACCCCGGAGCUCAACUCCGGGCCUGCAGUCGAUACGGGCAAACUGGAGUACUGCAGGGGAGACUGGAAUUCCUGGUGUAGCGGUGAAAAUGCGCAGAUAUCAGGGAGGGAACACCGGUGGCGAAAGGCGGGGUC
rnacentral:rRNA from 1 species